UACCAGCGUGUUGUAGGAUGGACCGC
rnacentral:piRNA from 1 species